UGCAGCAGCCGCGGUAAUUCCAGCUCCAAUAGCGUAUAUUAAAGUUGUUGCAGUUAAAAAGCUCGUAGUUGAACUUCAGAUCUGGCUGGGCGGUCUGCCUAACGGUAUGUACUGUCCGGCUGGGUCUUACCUCUUGGUGAGCCGGCAUGCCCUUCACUGGGUGUGUCGGGGAACCAGGACUUUUACCUUGAGAAAAUUAGAGUGUUCAAAGCAGGCUUAUGCCCGAAUACAUUAGCAUGGAAUAAUAAAAUAGGACGUGCGGUUCUAUUUUGUUGGUUUCUAGAGUCGCCGUAAUGAUUAAUAGGGAUAGUUGGGGGCAUUAGUAUUCCGUUGCUAGAGGUGAAAUUCUUGGAUUUACGGAAGACUAACUAUUGCGAAAGCAUUUGCCAAGGAUGUUUUCAUUAAUCAAGAACGAAGGUUAGGGGAUCGAAAACGAUCAGAUACCGUUGUAGUCUUAACAGUAAACUAUGCCGACUAGGGAUCGGGCGAACUCAAUUUGAUGUGUCGCUCG
rnacentral:rRNA from 1 species